UCAAGCAUUUCCCAUUGAAUCUCGAUCAUUAAGUCUUGUCUGCAGCUGCGUGUGCUCACAUUUGAAUCAAGUACAGCUGAUCAGCGCAAGCCCUAAGUGUAGACAAAGCUACUGCUUGUUCUGUUGGAUUUUCCCCUUUUUAUUUACAAUGCAGAUUCCCAAAAUCUUCAGGCCAGCAUGGGCAUAGUGAUUUGACCACAGGGCACUGGAGCUGAUUCUGUGUAGAGAAGGGAAAUGGCAAAAAAAUUGGUCCCCUAAUGGUAAGGUUGGCUCUGCUUGUUCUGAUCAUUACUGGUCAGGUUAUUUCUUCACUUAAACAUUUGAUCUGAGUGAUGCCCUUGCUACUGUGAAGUAGUGAUCUCCAUGUUAUUGCAAAACUGCUUUUAUCUUGAGGAUUUCUUGGAUGCUGACUCCUGGAGUGGUGCAAGGCCAGCCAGUGAGAGAAGGAUUCAGAAAAGGUAUUCCUAGAUGGCCUACUCCUCUACAAGAAACUAUAGGUUACAUCCCAUUAGCCCUUCCCACAUGGAUUUGAAGACGUACGUGUCAGAGAGGGUUCUCCCUCCAAUUACGGAUUGAUGGGUGGUUGGCAGAUUCUGGCAGAGUCUCGGCUUUGUGGAGAAGCAGAAGACUCCAGAAUACAGCGCUGUCAUCCAGACUAACCGGAUAUGAAUGCAGGAUCCUGACUUGACUUUCUUGAAAGCCAAUCAGUUCUGUGUGAAAUCGGGCAGACUUCACUAUUCUGACUUCUCUAGAUAUGCCAGAGGCUCUCCAGUUGUCUGUGGGAAAGCUUUUGAUAGAUUUAGAUGAAAUUGCUACAUUCCUGUGAAGCAUUUCCAUCUCCAUUUCACUGGAUCAGUAUUUUGCUACAGAAAACUGUUCCAUCAGAAAAAAAUUGAUUAGCCCUGCUUGGGGCUUUGCAGAGGCUUUUGAAAAGAUCAGCCGGAGCAUUGGGAAAGCAUGAACUUCAAUCUUCAGAGCAUGCAAGCAACAAGGCAUCAGCCGUCAGAGUGACACAAGCAGCAAUUUCCUUUGCACUUGAAGAAAGACUUUCACAAUUUGAGGAGCAUCAUAAUCUGCGCGCUUUCUUUUUCUGUAUCUCCAGCAACAUUGAAGAUGCCGGGUGAGGGUUUACAACAGCAGUGCACUGUGUUAAGCAAAGCAGUAGAAGACAGACAGCCUGGAGAAGAGACAGGCUGUGACGUAAGUGCCCUGGACCUUUCCAUUGAACUUCUAGUUCUUGGCAGCAGCUGAAACUUGGAACGUACCCAAAAGCUGCUUUGGAGUUUCCAUGCAAGAAUACGGUUUUUGUCCCUGUUUCCAAAUCUCCCAUUGCAGUCGGGGGUCCAUUAACACUGUCUGGGUCUGUUGCAAGCAGAAAAAUGCAGUUUUUCAAAGUUCAUACUUAAAGACACGUUUACUUUCUACUAGGGCUCUUUUUUGGCUGGUACACCUUGAUUUAAGUUCGGGUGAAUGGUAAAUUACAGAGAGUAUUGAUCUGAACCCUCUGCUAGCACACAUGUAGCAGAAAAAAGUAAAGCUCACUAAGAUGCUAACUGCCACUCCCAAAUUAUGGGGACCAGAGACUUUAAAGGAAUGGCCCUGUGUUUGAUUUUCAAGUUCUUUACUUUCUUUGUACUAAUAAAAGUAUGAAACAAAAGGAAUGAAUCCAAUUCUUUCAGUAAUGUAUUGGGCAAUUAGGACAUUAAUUGGGGAGUGUGGCAAAAAAAAAAUAUUACCCUAAAAUUAAGCUACAGGUGGUACAGAACAUCUAUUCACAAAAAAUAUAGAGUUUCUUAUCUGACUAGUGAACUGCACCAGCAAGAGCAGAAUGAUUCACCUCUACCAUCACAGCUGAUGGAAAGCUUAGAUAGCUAGAUAGAGCGAGACAGAAACCAGGAGUGGGACACAGAAGUUGUGACUCCCGGACUCCUGGUUCAAGCACAAGGCAAUGCACUUCCUUUGGGACAAUAUCAUCACUGGCAUCAUCUGUUAAUUCCUUGCUAUAAGAAUAAUACUGUGGUAGAGACUUUGGCUUGCUGUAUGCUUUGCGGCCCCAAGCGAACUUUGGGUGCUUCCGGAGAAAUUAUUAACAAACAA